GACGAACGCUGGCGGCGGGCUUAACACAUGCAAGUCGAACGGAAAGGCCCUGCUUUUGUGCUGUUCCCGAGGGGCGAACGGGUGAGUAACACGUGAGUAACCUGCCCUUCACUUUGGGAUAACUUCAGGAAACUGGGCCUAAUACCGGACAGGAUCCCCUGCUCCAGUGAAGGGGUUGGAAAUUUUCGGCGGUUGUGGAUGGACUCGCGGCUUAUCAGCUUGUUGGUGGGGGAGUGGCUUACCGAGGCUUUGACGGGUAGCCGGCCUGAGAGCGUGACCGGGCACAUUGGGCCUGCGAUACGGCCCAGACUCCUACGGUAGGCAGCAGUGGGGAAUAUUGCACAAUGGGCGGAAGCCUGAUGCAGCAACGCCGCGUUCGGGAUGACGGCCUUCGGGUUGUAAACCGCUUUCGCCUGUGACGAAGCGUGAGUGACGGUAAUGAGUAAAGAAGCACCGGCUAACUACGUG
rnacentral:rRNA from 1 species